AAGGCCGGAAGUCUAACCUGCUCUUGUUGCAUCACAGCCAUCACACGAUACUGCAGACGUGGUUUACAGCAUUGUUUUAUAGAAACAGAGAAAAUCUUUAUUUUUAUCAUGUUACGAGGUUCCUUAUUACAAGGAAGCAAAACACAGGUAGACCUACUUUGGUUUGCCUUGAAUUAGGUAUAAAAGACACUCAGUAGACUCAAUAGGCACGAGACCUGGAUACUUCAAGGAUCAUCAUGGUCAGAUCAUACACUCUGAUCACUAUUUUCUUGCACUUUCAUGUUUCUGGGAUUGAUAGCAGAGAUGUUUUCCAUGGGCUUUCCAAGUAUUCCAUUGUAAAUCCUCAGGUGAUUCACAGAUGGUCUAGCAGCAUUAACAGUCCACGACAUUCAAAAGAGGUGGGUACCUGAUACCUGACCGAAUCAUCUUUUCAGCAGAUGGUCUAAUAUGGAGCAUUUAACAUUUUUUGUAUACAUUUAGAAAUAUGGAGAUGAGACCUUGUCAUAUGCAGUCACUAUAGACAAUAAAAAGCACAUCCUUCAUCUGAAAAAGAACAGGUAUGUGCAGAAUUAGGCCACACAGAUAUUAAUGUAAGUUCCUUUUUUGCGCUUUAAAAGAAAAAAAAAAGAUUUCUCUUCCAUUCAGAGACUUCUUACACUCAAAUUUUGUUCAGUAUUUGCGUGAUGCCACCGGUAACUACGACACAUCAUAUCCAGCAAAUCAAGUAAGUUUAAGCUCAAACUCACUUGUAAGGCUGGAUCUGAAGACUAGUUCUAAAACCUGUUUUUUUCUUUGCAUUUCCCAGGUGCAUUGCUAUUACCACGGAGAAGUGGAAGGAUAUAAGAAUUCACUUGUAGCAGUUAGCACAUGCUCUGGUCUCAGGUAUAAAUAACUCUAUUUCAUCUGGAGUCAGGCUAGUUUCAUACUCCUCCUGAUAACUGGAAGUGGCUUUCUAGUUCCUCCUUCAAUGUUAGGAUCCCUGCGUUUUGGUCCCAGUUUUUUUGCGUUUUUUGUUGUUUUCCCAUUUCCUGUUUUUAUUUAUUUAUUAACAAUCUAUAGUUUUGUUUCUUAUCUAGUUCUGUUCUGUUUUGCUUAUAUUGUAUCCCUGUCUGUCCCUACAGUUGUGCCCCAUGUCCUUCAUUCUAGUUUCGGCUUUUUUCCCCUCUUUCUGUCCAGCCUCUGUGUCCUGUCUUCAAAGUGUGUGUGCUCUCAUUGUUUGUUCACAUUUUCCCUAUGUUACUGUAAAUUGGAAUGUCUGUGGUUUAGUUCCUGUUUUAUUUUGACAGUCCCUCAUGUUGCAUGUUUUAUGUUCUGCU